CCUACGGGAGGCAGCAGUGGGGGAUAUUGCACAAUGGGGGGAACCCUGAUGCAGCGACGCCGCGUGGGUGAAGGAGUGCUUCGGCAUGUAAAGCCCUAUCGGCAGGGAAGAAGCAAGACGGUACCUGACUAAGAAGCCCCGGCUAACUACGUGCCAGCAGCCGCGGUAAUACGUAGGGGGCGAGCGUUAUCCGGAUUCACUGGGUGUAAAGGGAGCGUAGACGGCCAAGCAAGCCAGGGGUGAAAGUCCGGGGCCCAACCCUGGGACUGCCCUUGGAACUGCAUGGCUGGAGUGCGGGAGGGGCAGGCGGAAUUCGUGGUGUAGCGGUGAAAUGCGUAGAUAUCAGGAGGAACACCGGUGGCGAAGGCGGCUUGCUGGACCGCGACUGACGUUGAGGCUCGAAAGCGUGGGGAGCGAACAGGAUUAGAUACCCUUGUAGUC
rnacentral:rRNA from 1 species